UACGAAGGGGGCUAGCGUUGCUCGGAAUCACUGGGCGUAAAGCGCACGUAGGCGGAUCUUUAAGUCAGGGGUGAAAUCCCAAGGCUCAACCUUGGAACUGCCUUUGAUACUGGGGAUCUCGAGUCCGGAAGAGGUUGGUGGAACUGCGAGUGUAGAGGUGAAAUUCGUAGAUAUUUCGCAAGAACACCAGUGGCGAAGGCGGCCAACUGGUCCGGUACUGGACGCUGAGGUGCGAAAGCGUGGGGAGCAAACAGGG
rnacentral:rRNA from 1 species